UCAAGGUCACUGAUUUUAGUAGCUAUGCACUAUGGCUGAGGAAAGAGGCCAAGGCUAGUGUAUGAAAGGUAAAAAGAUAAAAACACUCACAUUUGAGUUUUGAUUAAGUAACUGAAAAUCCGUACAUGCUGUUUUUCCACCUCUGCUCUGACCUAUCGAGAACUGAGAGCGACAGCAGACCAGUGUGAGAACAAUACCAGCCCUUCUUUUGUACCUCCUGCCUUUGUCAAGCCAAAUCUGAAGGAAUGAAAGUUUCACACAGAUUCGAGUUGGAAAUCCCAGCAUGACAAAUAUCUGUAAU
rnacentral:lncRNA from 1 species